GGGAUUAUAGUUAAAUAUAACAUUUGAUUUGCAUUCAAAAAGUAUUGUAAUUUACAAUUAUUCUC
rnacentral:tRNA from 1 species